CAUUUUUUAUUCGUAGCUGUAAUUAUUAUUUUUUCAACACAAUUGUUGAUUUAAGGGCUUGUAAGUAAAGCAUUUCACUGUUCGGUGCGCUUGUGACUAAAUUUGAUUAGACGGCUUGAUGUACAGACACACCCCUGGACAGGACACUAGUCUGUUUAUUCUAGAACAGGAUAUGUAUUGUGGUAUUUAUUUACUAAUAUCUAUCCCUCCUCUAGGUAGGAGUGGGCAGCAAGGCCAAGUGGGACCUGGGUGUGGCCUCGGAGAGGGUUGACCGGCAGGCCCGGGUCAAGCUGAGUCCUGAGAGCGGUUACUGGACCCUACGACUGAGAGAGGGAGACCAGUACUCUGCAGGCACACAGCCCUGGACACGGCUUCAGGUCGGGUGGUCUCCCCAGAGGAUAGGGGUGUUCCUGGACUGUGAUGAGAGGAAGGUGUCCUUCUAUAACGCUGAUGACAUGAGUCUCCUGUACUCUUUUAGUAACGGCCCCAGAGGCAGAGUUCUGCCGUUCUUUAGCCCCUGUGUCAAUGAUACGAACCAGAAACCACAGCCCAUACAGCUGCUGCACUAUCCUCCUGUUGACCUGACCUGUUAGGACAGGUGUGUCAAUGAUACGAACCAGAAGCCACAGCCCAUACAGCUGCUGCACUAUCCUCCUGUUGACCUGACCUGUUAGGACAGGUGUGUCAAUGAUA